rnacentral:rRNA from 1 species
AUACGGAGGGUCCGAGCGUUAAUCGGAAUUACUGGGCGUAAAGCGCGCGUAGGCGGCUAUAUAAGUCAGAUGUGAAAUCCCUGGGCUCAACCUAGGAACUGCAUUUGAAACUGUAUGGCUAGAGUAUGGUAGAGGUGAGUGGAAUUUCAGGUGUAGCGGUGAAAUGCGUAGAGAUCUGAAGGAACAUCAGUGGCGAAGGCGGCUCACUGGGCCAUUACUGACGCUGAGGUGCGAAAGCGUGGGUAGCAAACAGGAUUAGAUACCCUAGUAGUCC